GAUAAAAUAAUUUAAUUAAUUAUCUUAUUUAUUUAUUCAUUUGAAUGAGUGCAAGUAUAUAUUCUUGACACUGAGUGUUGAAAACAGUAAAAAUGGCUAGUUUGGGUUUGUGCUGACGGAGGUGACGACUGUUUUUACUGCCACACUCUUCAUGUGAGUUUCUGAAGAAAGAUGAAAAGAAUGAGGAGGAGGAUUUGAUGGAGACGGAGGAAGCGUCACUUGAAUUACUCUGGAAACAUUUUUGGCCUGGAAGAAAAGGAAAAAGCAAGAAAAACUGUCUACAGCAGAGCAGGACAUGGAGAGAAAGAAAGCUGCAGGUGCUUGGGACACCAGUGACCAAAAGAAACUUGAGCUUGUGAACAACUUGAAAGUUGUGAAAAGAAACAUGGAGAGGCUGAAAAGAAGAAAGCAAAGACA